GGCAUCUCUAUCCUUACUCCAUUUUUUCUCUAAAAUAGAGUAAAAGUGAAUAUGGAGUAAAGAAUGCUUCAAUCCAACUCCAUAUCUCACUCUAUAAUGAAAUUUACUCCAUAAAUGGAGUAAUUUAUUUUUUGUUUGUUUAUCACUCUAUUAUGGAGUGGGAUUGGAGCAAUUUUAUUUCAUUUUCAAUUUUACUUCAUUUUGGAGAGAAAAAUGGAGUUAUACAUUGGAAAUGUUCUUAGUUUUCUUAAAAGGUUUAAAUUUCCAUCUUGUUUAUUUAAAAAGUCUUAAACUUUUUUUUUUUUUUUUUUAACUUAGGGGUAUCCCGGACCUAUGGAAAGGUCAAAACUUACUCCAGCUUUUUUUACCAAAAAAGAGAACUUACUCAAGCUUUUCUCUCUUGGGGUCCGAAUGGUGACCGCGGAUUUAGUAAAAUAAGCGGGGCGGAAUUUAGGUGCGGGACGGUUCAACUGCGGUUCGUGCGUUUUGCGGGACAAGUGCGGUUUUGAUAAAAUUAGCGGUGCGGAAUUGUGUUGAUUGGUGAAAAUCUAUAGUGCGGAAUUAAACAGUUAAAAAAAAUUUAAAUAAUGUAAAAUAUCAAUAUAUUUAAUAUAAUUAAAAUGAAAAUUGUUUAUUUAGUGUUAUGGAUAUUAAAUUUUCUUUAUUAUUUAGAAAAAUUUAAAUACCAAAAUUCAUCUCAAACAAAUUUUUGAUAUAUAUAUAUAUAUAUAUUAAAAAAUUAUUUUCAUGUAUGUUUAUAAUCUCUAUUCUAAAAUUUAGUAGGGUUUGGUAUUUUAUCCGAACCAGAACCAACCCAAAAAUACAAGUUCGGAUCAGGGUCUGGAGCUAGACUAAACUACCUAUUGGAUAUAAUUUUUUUGGAUCCGUGAAUCUCGGUUCAAGUUUGAGUAGACCCAAGACUCAUACUCCCUCUGUUUCGUAUUAAGUAUCGUUGUAGAGAAAUUUGUUCGUUACAAAAUAAGUGUCAUUUUUGAUUUUCAAUGCAAAAUUUAUUAAUUUUAUGUAGUAAUUUAUUUUUUUAUUGGUUGAAAUAUGGUUAGGUGUAUAGGUAAUUGUGUUUUUAUAUAAAAAAUAUACAAAAUUAAUUGUUUUUUCAAUCUGUAUGCACAAGGUCAAAAUGACACUUAAUAUAAAAUAAAGAGAGUAGUAUAUAUUAAGUAUAUUUGAGUGUAUGGUGUAUUUCUGGUAUUACAUGUAUUUUUUUUUCAGAUUCAGGUUUUUAGAGUAUAGUUUUGGGUUUAGGGUAAGAUUUUAGAAUUUUAGAAAUAUAAUUACGUACUAUUAUUUUUAACGGUUUGGAUAACCAAUUAUUUUUGUAGCAUAUAUAUAUAUAUAUUAAAAUAGCUAAACAGUUGUGUAAAUGAAAAAUGUAUAUAUUUUUAAUAUAUUUUUAUAUAUAUUAAAAUAGUUACACAAAUGUAUAUAUAUUAUAAACCGCAGAAAAAAUAAAAAAUCUUCAAAAGACAUUUUUCAUGAAAACAUGAAAUAUUAUUUUAAAGUUUUGGUUGACCAAUUAUUUUUGUAACAAAUAUAUAUUAAAAUACUUCAAUUAGUACGUAAGGUUUUCAUGUAACAGGUAAAUAUUAUUAAUUGAAUGAUGAUAGUACGUAAGUGCUACAGUUAAAAACGCACUUCAACCACACCAAAAUCGAAGAUGCUAUAAAACAAGUGCGUUAUUUAACGUGAUAGAACAAACAAAAACAUUUUUUUGCUGAGUGCGGUAUUUAAACAAAACCGCCUUUUUAGUUUUGUAAUUGCUGAUUGGUGACAUUUUGAAAAUCGCACUUGUACUGUAUCAAUUACGUCCCGUCCCGCAAACCCCAUUCAUAACCUUGAUAUAAACGGUGCAAACUAUAAAGUAUCCACAUUUCUUUCGUCAAUUCAUCUGCAGUUUCAAUCAAUUUCCACUAACAAUGUCAUCAACAACAAGGUCGGUCGAAUAAUCAUUAUAAUAUAUAUAGUAUAUGGUCUAUCACAUUUCACAAACAAACAAAUUUGAGCUAUGUGUACAAUUGACAUUUACUUCUGCA
rnacentral:lncRNA from 1 species